GAUGAACGCUGGCGGCGUGCCUAAUACAUGCAAGUCGAGCGAACGGACGAGAAGCUUGCUUCUCUGAUGUUAGCGGCGGACGGGUGAGUAACACGUGGAUAACCUACCUAUAAGACUGGGAUAACUUCGGGAAACCGGAGCUAAUACCGGAUAAUAUUUUGAACCGCAUGGUUCAAAAGUAAAAGACGGUCUUGCUGUCACUUAUAGAUGGAUCCGCGCUGCAUUAGCUAGUUGGUAAGGUAACGGCUUACCAAGGCAACGAUGCAUAGCCGACCUGAGAGGGUGAUCGGCCACACUGGAACUGAGACACGGUCCAGACUCCUACGGGAGGCAGCAGUAGGGAAUCUUCCGCAAUGGGCGAAAGCCUGACGGAGCAACGCCGCGUGAGUGAUGAAAGUCUUCGGAUCGUAAAACUCUGUUAUUAGGGAAGAAUAUAUGUGUAAGUAACUGUGCACAUCUUGACGGUACCUAAUCAGAAAGCCCCGGCUAACUACGUGCCAACAGCCGCGGGAAUACGUAAGUGGCAAGCGUUAUCCCGAAUUAUUGGGCGUAAAGCGCGCGUAGGCGGUUUUUUAGUCUGAUGUGAAAGCCCACGGCUCUUCCGUGGGAGGGUCAUUGGAAACUGGAAAACUUGAGUGCAGAAGAGGAAAGUGGAAUUCCAUGUGUAGCGGUGAAAUGCGCAGAGAUAUGGAGGAACACCAGUGGCGAAGGCGACUUUCUGGUCUGUAACUGACGCUGAUGUGCGAAAGCGUGGGGAUCAAACAGGAUUAGAUACCCUGGUAGUCCACGCCGUAAACGAUGAGUGCUAAGUGUUAGGGGGUUUCCGCCCCUUAGUGCUGCAGCUAACGCAUUAAGCACUCCGCCUGGGGAGUACGACCGCAAGGUUGAAACUCAAAGGAAUUGACGGGGACCCGCACAAGCGGUGGAGCAUGUGGUUUAAUUCGAAGCAACGCGAAGAACCUUACCAAAUCUUGACAUCCUUUGACAACUCUAGAGAUAGAGCCUUCCCCUUCGGGGGACAAAGUGACAGGUGGUGCAUGGUUGUCGUCAGCUCGUGUCGUGAGAUGUUGGGUUAAGUCCCGCAACGAGCGCAACCCUUAAGCUUAGUUGCCAUCAUUAAGUUGGGCACUCUAAGUUGACUGCCGGUGACAAACCGGAGGAAGGUGGGGAUGACGUCAAAUCAUCAUGCCCCUUAUGAUUUGGGCUACACACGUGCUACAAUGGACAAUACAAAGGGCAGCGAAACCGCGAGGUCAAGCAAAUCCCAUAAAGUUGUUCUCAGUUCGGAUUGUAGUCUGCAACUCGACUACAUGAAGCUGGAAUCGCUAGUAAUCGUAGAUCAGCAUGCUACGGUGAAUACGUUCCCGGGUCU
rnacentral:rRNA from 1 species